AUCCCAUCGUAUUUACUUGUGGAAUGUUUCAUGAAGAAUGUGCAAGUUAAUGAAUUGUCUGAAAGGUGGGAAGCCGAGAAGUGACUGUUGAGAAUAAGAUUGAUGGCAAAGAAGGGCAGGCACCAGGCGGAAGUUCUGGGGGCGGCCACACUGUCUGCUCCCCCUGCCAGGCCAAGGCUGACCCUGUCCACCCAGCUCCAGCCCGUGAUCUGGGAUGUGGAACACUGCGAACUUGGUGAGGGGGAGUGUCUGUCCCUUGGAAUUUGGCUCAAGUGUGGCAGGAAGGACAGCUGGCCUUCCAGGGCCACAAUCCCAGGACUCGUGGUGGAGGUUCCGGGGGGUAGGACGCAGCCCCGUCUUCUGAAUCGGCCCAUUCGUCUGUCAUGGAUGGCUCCAGAUAAGUGUGGGUUUUCUUCACUUUAUUAAAUACAAAAAUAACAGGAAGAUUCUGGAAAACAGCUCUUGAUGGACGAGCCAAAUGUAGGUGAUUAAACUUCCUAGAUUUUUAAAUCUAAGUAUUUUUUUAGAUAAAAACUUGACAGUGAGUCCACCUAUAAAUACAAUUAAUUUCACUAAUACUAGGAAUAUUUCUGGUUUGGAAAAAGACUCAUAUCUAAUAUUUUUGGUCAUCAUUUGGAAAUAUUGCUGAAGCCCAAGAUAAACUCUGUAUUUUUCCAUAUUCUGGUCAACAAAUAUGCAAUGUCAUCUAUGUCCCAGGAGUGGGCUGCAUGUUGUGGUGGGCAAAAUAUUAUUAUUGACAAAAUAUCUGUGCUUCCUGGAGCCCUCUUUCCUUAGAUCUUUGCUCAGCUUGUUCCCUCACUUCCUUCUGCCCGCAGCUCAAAGGCCCCUUCUCAGAGGGGUUUCCCCACCAUCUGACUUAAAAUGGAGCCAACCUGCAUUAUUCUCUAGUCACUCAUCUGCUCUGUUUUUCUUCAUGAUACUUCCACUACUUGUCGUGUGUGUAUAUAUACAUAUACAUAUACACACACACCCAUAUGUGUAUAUAUUUGUUGUUGGUUAUUUGUCUCCCACACCAGGGUGUCUUUUUCUUUCAGGGAUCUUCAGGUUUGUUAGAUUAGGUUUGUUCUUCUUUCUCUCUCUCUAAAAUAUCUUCUGAAUGAUCAUCUUCUCCAGAGGUGAGGUCCUGAUGAUAUCGCCAUCACCACCAUCACCAUCACCAUCAUCAUCAUCAUCCUCAUCAUUACCAUUAUCCUUACAUGUAGAUCAUGGUGUCCUAAAAUAAAAUAGCUGGAAAUAUAAACCUAAGAUUUAGGGAGGAGGUAAGUCUGAAAAUAAAGAUCUAUGUGUGAUAGUCACUCAUGGCUAAAGCCAGGAAAAUGUGUGAGGUCCGUAAGGAAAAAAUAAAAAUAAAGAAGAGUUCAUAGUAUUAGUAGGUGAUAAAGCUCCUGUAGGAAUGAAGGGAAGGCAGCCAGGUACAGGUUCAGACAUAGAGCUGCCGGGGACGGGGCAUUAAUUGCUGGGGUGAGAGGGAGGCAAGUGUGGACCUUGAAGAGGCCCGUCCUUGUUGAUGGGGAGGGUGGGGCUUCUGUGGUGUGGUGCAGAUGGAAUUCUGAUUGCAGAGCAUGCCCGUCACAGCCCAGACGUGGGACGAUGUCUACCACUCAGCUGCCUUUACCCCUCAGUGGAGCCCAUGGAGGUCAUGCCCUUUGCUGGACAUCUGCUGGGUUUGUAAUUAAGCAAAAUAAGAAGCUCCUUCUGAAAUGUUGUUGGAGAACUAGGAUUUAACCCUGCACUAUUAAUAGAAAGUGUUUAGAAGCCACUUGAAUCAGUUCUGUAUUUUAAAUGGUCUCUUGGAAGGAAGGUGUCAUUGGGGAGUUCCACCUUAUUUCUUUUAUCAUAGUGCUACUUUAGGAAAUGACAAAGAAGCAUCUGUUAUAAUGUAAGAUUGCAGAGGAGAAAAAAUAGUGAACUCAUUGCAGGAACUAUUGUGAUGAGCUUAUAAUGUCACUGAAAUAUUUUCUUAUUAAAAUAAUUACAAGGCAAAUAGACAAGUGACUAUAAUAUAAAAUGUCUGGCAUCAGUAAGGCAGUUUAUUGUUUUUAGAUAAAUUCUAGAUUAUAUAACUGAGUUGCUAUAUUGGAAAAUGCUUCUCAAGGGCAGGGCCCUGUGUAUGUAUCCAGUACCGUCCACUAUGACGGGCACAGUGAUGACAAAUGUGGGGAGCAGGAGGCAAAGGAAGGAGAGGGGAGGAGGAAAAAAGACAUUGUGGCAGUGUCUCCAGGAUACCUGAAAUUUGUUUAAAUGUCCUGUACUGGAUCAAUUCCAUCUGAAGACUUGGAAAGAAGUUAUAGAUGAGAGCAUUGUUGGUGACAUUAGAGGGAUUGGAAAAAUCGAGAAAGUGCCAAGAAAUAGACAAAUGUUGCUCUUGUUUUCAAAAAUAAUAAGUUGGUAGAUUCACAUAGUACAUACUGGUUUGCUUGAGCAGUCUUCUGCAAGACGUUAUUAAAGAGAUCGUCUGAGAGUCCAGGGAAGAGAAAGCAAUUCUCUGAGAACAAUGUCGGUGGGCCCCUCCAUGUCGUCACCUCUUAGCCUUGUGCUGACAUAUAAUUGUCAUUCUGGAAAUGUCUGUUGAAUGCCUAAAAAUUAUUGAAACAAGCAUUGUGAAUCUAACUGCAUUUUCUCCUUUGAAAGCUUUAAAAAACUAAUCCAUGAGAAAAUUGAGAGAGAAAUUAAAUAUCCGGACUACAGCAAAGUAUGUGACCAGUUAUUCUUGCAGAAAAAUGGAAAAUAUGAGCUGGACAUUGGUAUGAAUGAGAAGACCUCUUCAUGAGUUAUUAUUUGUUUAUUCAAAAGGCACCUUUAUCAAAUCCAUAUGCUGCACAGAAUGAGCCACUUUUCAUCUGAACGCAAGACUACCGAGACUUACACUCGCGGAUGAAGGAGACGAUUUGAAUGGGUUCCAGGUUUCCUGCUCCUCUUUGCUGUUAAAGGGAGCAGGAGAUGGCCACAUCAAGCAGAAGUGGCUGUCACGGUGCCUGAGCACAGGCUGACCACAGACCUGAGAGAACAGCCUCGGCCCGGUCAUCAUCUCCGACUUUCUCCUGCAAUGAGGAACCACAGCGACCGCUCGCCAUUCAUCACCGUGCCCUUCCCACACACCCAGCACCUUCCAAACGGGCUGGCCUGGAGAUCUGCAAACAUCUGCUUCUUUUCUCUUUCCCUCUGCAAACUCCCCAUUCAGGUAGACUUUAAUGACUGAGAGAGAGGUAAAAUCCUUCUAUAGAAAUGACAACGGACGCUUGUUUUCUUUUAAAUGUAAUGUUAGGAUUUCACUUUUAUGAAUAAGGCAGCAAAAUGGCACAACUGUAUGCACGUGUGCACAGACAGCAGGUUGUUGGGACUUGCAAUCGAUGUUAAAAGUUUAGUUUAUGCCUAUCAAAGUCAUCUUUGACCCUUAAUGGAGUGGAGGGCUCCUACAGUACUAAAGUUCAUUGGUCUUGCAUAUUUUAAUGGAUAAUGCUAUUGUUUGUGGAUUCGGGGUGUUCUCCUUGCCUCUCAGACAGGAUGUUCCCAGCCUGUUUCCUUUGGGGGUUUAAGUUGUUCUGGGACAGUCUACAGAAUGUUCGACUGCUGCUAAUGCGUGUUGUGAGACCUAUAGAUGACAGUGAGAAAACAUCCAGGUCAAUAGAUCUUGGCUUGCUCAUUCAGUCAGGUAUUUAUUAUUCUUCUUUGCAUGAAAAUUUUUGACUCUGGCAGACUCUGUAGCUCCCCACAGUAAUAAAAGUGCGCCUCGGGGUGGCUAAUCCUAAACAGUGGCUAAUCCUCAAGCUAUUUGCAUUUGUUUUGGGAAUGCACAUUUGUACCUGCAUUAUAACAGGGCCAAGAUUACUACCGAACAAAUAACAAAGCUGGGUAUGGCCAGACUGUUUCUGAAAGCGACAACAAUCUGCUUUUUCAUUGUAUUUUCUCACUCAGACACUUUUUAUUGGCCUCAUCAUGGCAUUUAACUCUUUUGGAUCAGAUCUUUUCCAGAGCAAGGUGAUCUGUGAUGAGCCGAUCACCUCAUUGCAUCCUGUCCAUCACAACUGAGAUGCAGGGCAUGAACACUGAUGGAGAGAGAGGAAAUACACAUCUUUAAUGACCUCUUGGUCAGGAGCACUGCCUCGGGGUCAGAACCAAGUUCAAAUCUCUUUCUUGCCAUUUCCAACCUAGCCAUGAUUUUAGACAAGUUAAUUUCCCUCUCUGAACCUCAGUCUCCUUAACUGAGCACAAAUUCCCGCCCCAUAAGGGUAAUAACAGUGAGUAUUAGGUAGUAUGGUGGUCGUAACGUAGGUAGCACCAGUAUUGCCAUAUAGUAAGGGCUUAGCAAGUGAUAGCUGCUAAUUUUACUUUGCAAACCGGCUUCCUGACUGCAGCAAAUCUGCAGAUGACAAAAAACUCUCAUGCUGAUGUGAAGAUUUCUUUCCAAGAAAAUUGUAUUAUUUCAACCAUGCUCAUUUCUCUCACCAAGCCAAAAAAUUAGCAUAUUUCUCUAGAAGCUAGGGAGAAAGGACUACUUUUGUGUGUGUGUGUGUGUGUUUUUGUGUGAGGAAGAUUGUCACUGAGCUAACAUCUGUGCCAGUCUUCCUCCAUUUUAUGUGGGAUGCCACCACAGCACGGCUUGAUGAGCAGUGCUAGGUCCACGCCCGGGAUCCAGACCUGCAAACCCUGAGCCACCGAAGCGGAACAUUCGAACUUAACCACUACGCCACUGGGCCGGCCCCAAAGGACUACUUUUUAAAAUAUUCUUUUAACUAACAAAAUGCAGAGAUGAUAUUCUUUCUGCGUUGUUUCAUGGCAGGGACACAUUCUGAGAAAUGCAUUGUUAGGCGAUUUUGUCAUUGUGCAAACAUCAUGGAGUGCACUUACACAAACCUACAUGGUAAAGCCUACUACACACCUGGGCUAUAUGGUACUAAUCUUAUGGGACCCUCAUUAUACAUGCGGUCCAUUGGUGACUGAAAAGUCGUUAUUCGGCCCAUAACUGUAUAAUAUGAUAUUAUUUGCUGUCACAGGAGUUUUGAAAACAUAGCUACAUUAUAUACAUAUAAUUUGUUUACAAGGUUCUGGGUGGACCAUCAGGCAGAAAGACAGAAAAAGUUUUUGAGUAAAGAGAGGAACAGGAUUGAGAAAUGGGAAAUAAGGAAUAUCGCAUGAAAGAGUAGAAGCAGAUUGUGAGUAAACAUCUGAAGAAGAAAGUAAGAGGAAUGACAUUAAACGUGUCAGUGCUCCUGUAUUUUGAAGGAGGUGUAAAUUGGAUCAAGUGCUGUAAAUGUUCACAGGCCAUACCCCCUUUGGAUCUUCUCACCUCUUCCCUCCUUCUCACCACCUGCGUCCAUCAGCUCUGUCACUUUAUGUAUGAGAGAGAGAUUCCCACAUUCACUCCAGAGGUUCCAGGAAGAGCAGACAGCUUAAAAACAUAAAAUUUUAAAAAUGCAGCUAUUUCUUCAUCGAACACUCCUCUCAAGCAGACACAUUUUAAACAAUGCUCGAAGUUUCAGAAGGGAGUUAAGAUACAUGAGAGAAAAAUCCUUUCUGAAGUUUGAAGCUGCCUCGGGUGCACAAACGUGCACCUUCCUAGGAGAGAGACCAUUUUUGGAAGAAGAUAACAAUAACACAUCUGUCUUUUCAAAACCACAGCGCAGCUCGAGUACCAGAUUAAGGGAGAUUUGUAAACUCUGUUUCUGAAAAAGUACAGCCUCUUCCUUGGUUUUAUUGGUCGAGGAAUUCCAGCGAGACGGCAGCAGUCUGGUUCUUGGCAGACUUCUGCGGGAGCUGAUGAACGUCUUUUCUAGGUUAAAGUCUCCUCUUUUUUUGAGGAAGAUCAGCCCUGAGCUAACAUCUGCCCCCAAUCCUCCUCUUUUUUGCUGAGGAAGACUGGCCCUGAGCUAACUUCUGUGCCCAUCUUCCUCUACUUUAUAUGUGGGACGCCUACCACAGCAUGGCGUGCCAAGCGGUGCCUUGUCCGGACCCAGAAUCCAAACCAGCAAACCCCAGGCUGCCGAAGCAGAAUGUGCACACUUAACCGCUGCGCCACUGGGCCGGCCCUAAAUUCUACUUUUUAAAAGUCACGCUGUGAAGUGAGCUUGAGUUGAUAGAUCUGUUGGGCCACUGUUUGCAUACUGAAGUAUGGCAGCCUUCAACAGGCUACCUAUUGGCUAAAGCAACGAGCCAGAUGAAGACCUCAGUACAGUCAUCUCAGCUAUUGGAACAAUGUAAUUUGGCAAAUGAAAAAAAGAAAGCAUAUGUUGAUCAUGCAAUGCAAACAGAAGAUGCCCCUUUAUUAUAGGAGAUCACAAAGUCGUGAAUGGUAUGUCUUCUUAUAAGGUGAUGACGCAGUAAUUCAACGACAUUCUUAAAACUUCCAGUAAAUUUCCACCAUUUCAGAUCCUAUUGAGGCCAUUAAAUCAAGACUGAUUUGGACACGAAUAUCUCUCUUCUACAGAAACAUAUAAAUGGGAUCAGAUGAUUUGGGUAAGUGGCAACUAUUAAUUUUAUUGAAAAGACCUCCCUCAAUUGAUGUUUCUUGUUUGAAAGGCUAGCCCAUCUCUAAAGGGUUAACUGGCGUCCCAUUAAUGGGACACACUAUCACAAGACAAAGUAAUACAGUUUAACGCCCCCUGCUUUGAAUUCAGAGUUCAUGCAUAGUCUAGACUAAAGGCCAAACAAAUGUGCAACACUCCAUGCAUGUCUAUGGAGGAACAUUUUUGCUGAAGGAUAUGUAAAUAUUGCACUAAUCAGAGGUUCUGAAAUUCCAAAUGCCGUAAAAGGUUACGACCCGAAGCCCUGUUAAUAUAUGAGCGAGGGCGUAGACCAAACCCUUUUGAAUGACAGCUAACAUGGGGUGUUUUGCAUGAAAAAUAACCUCUAAUAAAUGACCUCUGCUUUUCUCUUUUCAAUUCUGUGACAGUAAUGAAUGAGAAAGGGGGAGCUUCCUACACAUCCAGUGUUAUUUACACCGAAACAUGAAAGUCCUGCCUGAGUGUUGGCUCCCAUUCAGGAAGAUGGAACAGUAGACAAUUUAUCGCAGAGAAUGAUAAUUUCUUUUUCCCUUUUGGGCUUCCCAAAGAACUCCAAGUAGAAGAGCAAAAAAACCUAAACACAUGCAAAGUUGUUAAAACAAGUGUUUCAUUUCCUAAAGAAUCCUUUCCGUUAGAGGGUGUAUAUGGAAUCUCCUGGAAUGCUGAUGAAACCUUUCUUGCUCAGAGAGCCCAUGACGUUUAGCCUGUCAGGUCUGUGUCUCUUCCAGAGAUGAGCAUGUUUUAGCAGCUUAGAAUCUCUGCCAAGAGAUUAAAUUUUCCUUGGGGCUGCUUUCACAUGAGCAGAAAGUUCUGUUCUUUUCCCGGAUUUCAGCUGAUCAAAAAAACAACAUAUCCCCUUAAAGAACGGCAAUCUCCUUCUCCUCUUCUCACAGCAGGAAAGUGUCUUUCCAUGUUGUAAUUUUUAAAUCUAGUAAAAGAUCUACUCUAUCAGCCUCUCGUUGCUCAAAACAGCUGACCAGUGCUUCGCUCGGUCUCUCCAGGUUUGAGGGUGCGUCUCUCCCAUGGGCCUUGGUCACGUUCAGAGCUUUCUGAAGAAAUAUCUCAUGGUGUUUGGCUUAACUUUUUCUUUACAAAAUUUAGAUCAGACUACUACCAGUUAUAUCCCUUUGAAUUUUAGUUCACGGCUUUUCUCCAAAUCUAAUGUUUGAGCUCCUCUGAUGUUUUCGGAUGCUUGUCUGGCUGUACGUUUUCACUUUCUCCCCCUAUAAACACUUCCCUGUUCUGCUGGGCAUCUCUGAGUCUUCCUCAGCUCUGCCCUCUCUCUGAUGCUGAGAUUUACUGUACGCUUUUCACUGAUACACGCUUGUUCUCUUUGAGCUGCCCUUGUGCUUGUUAAAAUGUUACCACUUGAAAUUAAACAUCCUUCUUUUAUGUAUUUAGAAGAACAUCAUAUAUGGUUUUCCUUGCCUGAAACCUCCCCUCCAGGCAUGAGAUCUGUGACUCGGUGUGGAGGAGAAUACAUUGGAGGUGGCAGUGAUGGGGCACUGCGGGAUCAGGGUGGCGACAUGAGGCCUCUUGGAUUUGGAUGUAAACCGUGAC
ensembl:lncRNA